rnacentral:lncRNA from 1 species
GAAGUGAUUCUGGACGAAUCUGGAUACGAUUUUUCAGAUUCAGAUGCUGUGGAUCAUGAACCUAUUUACAUAAGAAGUGUUAUUUUAGUACAAGAUGAAAACGUUAAGCAAGAGGUUCAUCCCUUGUCUGAUUUUAAUGAUACGAAUUUUGGGUCUAAUGCAUUUUUAAGCAGUGUUUCAGAUAGUUCUGAAGAAAUUGGCAUAAUCAAAGGGAGUGUCGAGCCCGUUAGGGAGCGUGGAGAUCCCGAUACGUUCAAGAUUUGCAAAUCUGAGGAGAUUGCAAAUCCAGAUUUGCAAAUCCGAGGAGAAACUCAGGAUGGAGAUUUUCACAACAUACAAAUAUUCCCCAAGGAAUUCAUUUUUCUUUUCUCUCCGGGGGAGUUCCUACCGGCCGUUCCGGAAUUCGCAUCACUGACGAGAAACGCAUUUCCAGUCCAUGUCGCCUAAAUAAUACACGUCACGGAUGUUACCCAACCGAGGAGACACCAAUAACUCCACCGUCCAACCGUCUGUGGCAGACCGCAGGCCGGCUCAUCCCUAUUGGUGCCUGUGGGAUUUUGGUCA